rnacentral:rRNA from 1 species
UACGUAGGGGGCUAGCGUUGUCCGGAAUCAUUGGGCGUAAAGCGCGUGUAGGCGGGUUGCCAAGUCCGCUGUGAAAGCCCGAGGCUCAACCUCGGAGGGUCGGUGGAUACUGGCAGUCUUGAAGGUGCUAGGGGGAGAUGGAAUUACCGGUGUAGCGGUGAAAUGCGUAGAGAUCGGUAGGAACACCAGUGGCGAAGGCGGCAUCCUGGACCGGUAUUGACGCUGAGGCGCGAAAGCCAGGGGAGCAAACGGG